UACGUAGGGGGCGAGCGUUAUCCGGAUUCAUUGGGCGUAAAGCGCGCGUAGGCGGCCGCCUAAGCGGAACCUCUAACCCCGGGGCUCAACCUCGGGCCGGGUUCCGGACUGGGCGGCUCGAGUGCGGUAGAGGAGAGCGGAAUUCCCGGUGUAGCGGUGGAAUGCGCAGAUAUCGGGAAGAACACCGAUGGCGAAGGCAGCUCUCUGGGCCGUCACUGACGCUGAGGCGCGAAAGCGUGGGGAGCAAACAGG
rnacentral:rRNA from 1 species